rnacentral:misc_RNA from 1 species
CGACCCUCAAGCAUAGCUUGGUGUUGGGCAUGGUCCCCCGGGGGACCCGCCCGUAACUCGUAGGCGGCCGCCGCCCGCGCCCCCAGCGUAGCAAGCUCACGCAUUCGCUCGGGGACGGCGCGUCUGGCCCGCCAGGCAAAAUCCAAACCCUUUCAAGGU